rnacentral:tRNA from 1 species
GGAUAAAUGAUCUAGUGGAAAGAACAUGGGCCUGGGAGUCAGAGGACCUGGGUUCUAAUCCCAGUUUUGCCA